UACGUAGGGGGCAAGCGUUGUCCGGAAUCAUUGGGCGUAAAGCGCGCGUAGGCGGCCCGGUAAGUCCGCUGUAAAAGUCCAGGGCUCAACCCUGGAAAGCCGGUGGAUACUGUCGGGCUAGAGUCCGGAAGAGGCGAGUGGAACUCCUGGUGUAGCGGUGGAAUGCGCAGAUAUCAGGAGGAACACCAAUGGCGAAGGCGGCUCUCUGGGACGGUACUGACGCUGAGACGCGAAAGCGUGGGGAGCGAACAGG
rnacentral:rRNA from 1 species